rnacentral:rRNA from 1 species
GACGAACGCUGGCGGCGUGCUUAACACAUGCAAGUCGAACGGAAAGGCCCUGCUUUUGUGGGGUGCUCGAGUGGCGAACGGGUGAGUAACACGUGAGUAACCUGCCCUUGACUUUGGGAUAACUUCAGGAAACUGGGGCUAAUACCGGAUAGGAGCUCCUGCUGCAUGGUGGGGGUUGGAAAGUUUCGGCGGUUGGGGAUGGACUCGCGGCUUAUCAGCUUGUUGGUGGGGUAGUGGCUUACCAAGGCUUUGACGGGUAGCCGGCCUGAGAGGGUGACCGGCCACAUUGGGACUGAGAGACGGACCAGACGCCUACGGGAGGCAGCAGUGGGGAAUAUUGCACAAUGGGCGGAAGCCUGAUGCAGCAACGCCGCGUGCGGGAUGACGGCCUUCGGGGUGUAAACCGCUUUCGCCUGUGACGAAGCGUGAGUGACGGUAAUGGGUAAAGAAGCACCGGCUAACUACGUG